UAGCUCUGGUUUCUCUUAAGUCAGGUGUAAAUCUUUCACCUUUUAUUAAAGAUUUCUGUGGAGUAGAAUGUCAAUGAGUUUGAUAAAUAUUUUGUUAGCUUUGCUCUGGCAAAGCU